rnacentral:rRNA from 1 species
UACGGAGGGGGCCAGCGUUGUUCGGAAUCAUUGGGCGUAAAGGGCGCGUAGGCGGCCGAGCAAGUCGGACGUGAAAUACCCCGGCUCAACUGGGGAAUUGCAUCCGAAACUGCUUGGCUUGAGUCCUGGAGAGGGUAGUGGAAUUCCCAGUGUAGCGGUGAAAUGCGUAGAUACUGGGAGGAACACCGGUGGCGAAGGCGGCUACCUGGACAGGUACUGACGCUGAGGCGCGAAAGCUAGGGGAGCAAACAGG